rnacentral:lncRNA from 1 species
AAAAAAAAGAGCAUAUGAGAAAAUAGAUGGAGUGCUGAGACAUUUGGUAAUAGGUUAAGGCAAUUAUUUUAAGAAUCACAAGAAUAACUUGGCUAUCGAUCGAAAGACAGGUCCCAAUUAGGUCAAAUAGUGGACGUGUGAUCCCUAUAUCAAGGUUAACAAGAAGAUAAUCAGCUCCACAAAAGCAUGAAUCACUCGAUGUGAGGGAUGC